AAAUAUAGACUUAGAGCAUUUCCA
rnacentral:snRNA from 1 species